UGCAUGUCUAAGUACAUGCCGUAUUAAGGCGAAACCGCGAAUGGCUCAUUAAAUCAGUUAUGGUUCCUUGGAUCGUACCUUACUACUUGGAUAACUGUGGUAAUUCUAGAGCUAAUACAUGCAGCAGAGCUCCGACCUUCGGGGACGAGCGCUUUUAUUAGACCAAAACCAAUCGGACUCCGUCCGUCUCUCGUGGUGACUCUGAAUAACUUUGGGCUGAUCGCACGGGCCCGUCCCGGCGACGUAUCUUUCAAGUGUCUGCCUUAUCAACUUUCGAUGGUAGGUUACGCGCCUACCAUGGUCGUAACGGGUAACGGGGAAUCAGGGUUCGAUUCCGGAGAGGGAGCCUGAGAAACGGCUACCACAUCCAAGGAAGGCAGCAGGCGCGCAAAUUACCCACUCCCAGAACGGGGAGGUAGUGACGAAAAAUAACAAUACGGGACUCUUUUGAGACCCCGUAAUUGGAAUGAGUACACUCUAAAUCCUUUAACGAGGAUCCAUUGGAGGGCAAGUCUGGUGCCAGCCGCCGCGGUAACUCCAGCUCCAAUAGCGUAUAUUAAAGUUGUUGCGGUUAAAAAGCUCGUAGUUGGAUCUCAGUUCCAGACGGGUGGUCCGCCAACCGGUGGUUACUGCCUGUUCUGAACAGCCAGCCGGUUUCUCUUGAUGAUCUUCACCGGUUGUCUUGGGUGACCGGCAAGUUUACUUUGAAAAAAUUAGAGUGCUCAAAGCAGGCGCGACGCCUGAAUAAUGGUGCAUGGAAUAAUGGAAUAGGACCUCGGUUCUAUUUUGUUGGUUUUCGGAACACGAGGUAAUGAUUAAGAGGGACAGACGGGGGCAUUCGUAUUGCGACGCUAGAGGUGAAAUUCUUGGACCGUCGCAGGACGAACUACUGCGAAAGCAUUUGCCAAGAAUGUUUCCAUUAAUCAAGAACGAAAGUUAGAGGUUCGAAGGCGAUCAGAUACCGCCCUAGUUCUAACCAUAAACGAUGCCAGCUAGCGAUCCGGCUGUGUUCCUCAAAUGACACGCCGGGCAGCUUCCGGGAAACCAAAGCUUUUGGGUUCCGGGGGAAGUAUGGUUGCAAAGCUGAAACUUAAAGGAAUUGACGGAAGGGCACCACCAGAAAUGGAGCCUGCGGCUUAAUUUGACUCAACACGGGAAAACUCACCCGGCCCGGACACAGGAAGGAUUGACAGAUUAAGAGCUCUUUCUUGAUUCUGUGGGUGGUGGUGCAUGGCCGUUCUUAGUUGGUGGAGCGAUUUGUCUGGUUAAUUCCGAUAACGAACGAGACUCUAGCCUACUAAAUAGACGUUCCCAUCAAUCUCGUGGGGCGUUCUUCUUAGA
rnacentral:rRNA from 1 species